CAGGAGUCGCUAGUGCGUGAUGAGACAAGGAUAUCCCUACCGGCCAAACCCUCUCUAACCCGGACGAUGCUAGGCCAAUUGUGCUUCGACCCACGGACCUCCUUGUUGCGAACCCAGAUUCUCUGGUGGCCCAGCUAGCACUGCAAUGCAGUGCCCUAGACCACUACACCACCCGGGAGACCUAGGUCCCAUUUGAGCUGCCAGAGUAUGAGGCGUGUCCAGAUGAGCUCAACCAGAGGCAGGUCUUGUUCCAGUAUUGGGCCCGCUGGUCUAAGUGGAACAAGUACCAGACACUGGACCACAUCAGAGAAUACUUUGGAGAGAAGAUAGCCUUUUACUUUGCCUGGCUAGGCUUCUACACAGCCUGGCUGCUCCCCGCGGCAGUGGUGGGGACCUUUGUCUUUGUGUCAGGAGUCAUGUCCGAGGGCACCAACACUCCUGCAUGAGUCCUGAAACUCAAUCACUUACAAUGCUUUUCUAACACAUUCAUUUCUUUGCCUGUAAUCAAGGUUCAUGGUUUGAAAAUUGUACAGUAUAGAGCUCUUAUUAUAAUUAUCUUUACUACAAAUCGAGACCAAAAGAACGCUCAAAGAGGUGCUAUUACAAUAUAAUUACAGUAUAAUUUGAGCAACAGCGUGGCCUAGUGUAAUUCGCAGUCUGGAGCUCUGCAAAUGUACAGGCUCAAUUUAGUUACGCAGGCCGCCUGUACCAGUCUUAGGACAUAAUGCAUUGCUUCGCUGUGUGUGUGUCUUACAGUAACAUCACCCAGAAUGCAUCACAAACUAUACCAAUUACAUAAUUGACAAUUAACUUCAAUAAAGGCAUGAAAAAGGUCAACAAAAACAUUUAGGAAAUAUAUUACACGAUACAUAUCCACACAUCAAUAAUCGUGGUAAACCAUGUUUUAAACUUCAAUAAAACACAGGAAUAUGAACAUAUGCUUUAGCUUCCCUGCAACACUCAAACUAUGCGCUCUAAAGCACCCACUGUUUGACCAUCAAACCUCGACCAGGAAGUAAGGUGUGUGAGAGAGUGAAAACGUGUGUGUGUGUGCUUGUGUGUCCGUCUAUGCGUGUGUCAGGGGGAAAAUAAUAAUAUACUAUAUGCCAUUUAGUAGACACUUUUAUCCAAAGAAACUUAAAGUAAUGCGUGCAUACAUUUUACGUAUGGGCGAUCCCAGGCAUCGAACUGGCAUUUUAAACAACAUGCUCUUCUAACUGAGCUACCAUGUCUUGUCAAUGUUCCCUGUGUCUCCAAUGUGUUUCCAUGGCAACUGCUGACCAUUGUUUUCUCAGUAGUCUCUGUUACCCAGUAGUUAAAUGUGUGCAUAACUUUGUCACUUGUUUUCUCGUCGUUUAUUUACAGAAUCUGUCCACGAGAGAAUACUUUCUCGGGACCAGUGUUUGAUGGCUUGGUGGGGACUCAGUCGAUUUACCAGGCCAUAAAGAUAGGGAGUCUAAAGAUUCAAUAACAUAGCGAAGGAAGAAAAGCAUUGAGUCUCUUACAGGCCCAAAGACAUUAGUGUAACUCUUCAUGUUCAUUGUGGUUUAGUAAUAUCAAUCACUGCACUGUAUAAAAGCCAGAGAGCCUCUGGUGAUGUACUCUGUAGCAAGCAAUCAACGGGUAAUAAUAAUUCAGAUGUGUCUGAAAUCACACUCACUUCACUACUUUUGAGUGGUGAAUUGUGUAUGUGAUUCUGUGCCUGACUGUCCACAGCAAGGAGAUCUGUAGCAGUGGGAAUAGCUACCUGAUGUGUCCUCUCUGUAAGACCUGCAAGCCCUGGAACAUGCCUGAUAUCUGCCCCAUGGCUAAGGUGGGCUACCUGUUUGACCACCCCGGGACACUUCUCUUCAGUGCGUUCAUGUCAUUCUGGGCAGUCACCUUACUGGAGUACUGAAAACGCAAGAUGGCCACCCUGGCUCACCACUAGGACUGCAUGGACUUCCAAGAGGAGGAGUUUUGUGUGGUGAGGAUCUUCCUGGUGAAAGUGAUCAUGUACCGUGGGAUAGUGGGUGUGAUGAUGUACCGCACAGGCAGCGUUGUGCUGCGCACUCAGGCAGAGGAACAUUGCCAAUAUCUCCAGCAGUUUGGUGAAUCUGGCCCUGAUUCUGCUGAUGGGGCUGCAGCUCACUAAAUUGGGUAAGAACACAGACCUCAGCCACAUCCCUGUCUGCCUCAGCCAAUACGCUACCAAUCAAUACAUCUACCUACAGGGAAAUCUACUUCCUUGGGGUUUGAUUAAGCGUCUACGUCUAUCACAGUGGCCUCAAAGAGAAAACAUUGUCUAUCAAAUAAACUGGAAGCGGUUUGAUAUUCAAGGAUUUUUACAUGAUGUAUCUAGCAUGGCAUGGAAUAGCAUGGAAUUAAUCCCUGGUGUUGAACUAGCCUUUUCUUACUUCCACAACACAUUCCCGGAUGUAUGCAAUAGGCCCCUUUUAAAAAAAUCAGGAUUAAGGGCAGAGAGAACCCUUGGUUUACUUAAGGAACUUACAAAAAUCAUAAGGGAACGAAAUGCUAUGUUGGCUCAAGCAAGAGGGACUGGUUUGGCAGAUGAUUGGGUGGCUUUUAAAUGUCUUCGAAAUAUGGGUGUGGCUAUGAUCCAUAAUUUGAAAGCAGACCACUAUCUGAAAUCUACUUCACAUAGUUUAAAUAAUCCAUCCACAUUUUGGCAAGUAGUGAAGGGUUUGGAGUGCAAAAAGAUACACAUCUUCCCAAACAGUUGUUGGUCGACACACAGAUUGUAACUGAGAGAACCUCCAUUCUGAAAGCUUUUAAUCAGCAUUUCAUUUAGAUGCAGGCAGUUUAUUUGAAAAGGUCAAAGGUAUAAUUGAGUUUCAAUGAAUAUACCUGACACCCCUGUGCACUCCUUCACCAGGUUCUCCUUUUCAUCCUUUUCUGUUUCAGAAGUGUGUAAAGCCCUGAAAGAAAUUUGUGGGAAAAAAUAUGUUUCCUACACCUAGCUGCAGACAUCAUUGCUCCCCCUUAACAUGUAUUUUUAACCUCACGCUUGAUGUUGAGGAAAUAUGGAAAUAUGCUUUUGUACUGCCUCUCCUGAAAGGUGGAGAUCCUUCGCUACUUGACAACUGUUGACCCAUAUCCAAAUUGUCUGUACUGUCAAAGGUACUGGAGUCCUUUAGUUAGUAUGCAGCUAAAGGCCUACUUCCAAGAAAACAACAUCUUAAAUGGAAUGCAAUCAGGUUUCAGGUCUGGCCACAGCACUGUUUCAGCAACAUUGAAGAUU